rnacentral:rRNA from 1 species
ACGUGGGUAACCUACCUANAAGACUGGGAUAACUCCGGCAAACCGGGGCUACUACCGGAUAAUAUUUUGAACCGCAUGGUUCAAUANUGAAAGACGGUUUCNGCUGUCACUUAUAGAUGGACCCCCGCCCUAUUAGCUAUUGGUAAGGUAAUGGCUUACCAANGCGACGAUNCNUACCCGACCUGAGAGGGUGAUCGGCCACNCUGNAACCGA